UACAGAGGUCUCAAGCGUUGUUCGGAUUCAUUGGGCGUAAAGGGUGCGUAGGCGGCGCGGUAAGUCGGGUGUGAAAUCUUGGAGCUUAACUCCGAAACUGCAUUCGAUACUGCCGUGCUUGAGGACUGGAGAGGAGACUGGAAUUUACGGUGUAGCGGUGAAAUGCGUAGAUAUCGUAAGGAAGACCAGUGGCGAAGGCGGGUCUCUGGACAGUUCCUGACGCUGAGUCACGAAGGCCAGGGGAGCAAACGGG
rnacentral:rRNA from 1 species